rnacentral:rRNA from 1 species
UACGGAGGGGGCUAGCGUUGCUCGGAAUUACUGGGCGUAAAGCGCACGUAGGCGGCGAUGCAAGUUAGGUGUGAAAGGCCUGGGCUUAACCCAGGGACUGCACUUGAUACUGCAUUGCUAGAGUCCAAGAGAGGGUAGUGGAAUUCCCAGUGUAGAGGUGAAAUUCGUAGAUAUUGGGAAGAACACCAGUGGCGAAGGCGGCUACCUGGCUUGGUACUGACGCUCAGGUGCGAAAGCGUGGGGAGCAAACAGG